CCUACGGGAGGCAGCAGUCGAGAAUCAUUCACAAUGGGGGAAACCCUGAUGGUGCGACGCCGCGUGGGGGAAUGAAGGUCUUCGGAUUGUAAACCCCUGUCAUGUGGGAGCAAAUUAAAAAGAUAGUACCACAAGAGGAAGAGACGGCUAACUCGGUGCCAGCAGCCGCGGGAAUACAGAGGUCUCAAGCGUUGUUCGGAAUCACUGGGCGUAAAGCGUGCGUAGGCUGUUUCGUAAGUCGUGUGUGAAAGGCGCGGGCUCAACCCGCGGACGGCACAUGAUACUGCGAGACUAGAGUAAUGGAGGGGGAACCGGAAUUCUCGGUGUAGCAGUGAAAUGCGUAGAUAUCGAGAGGAACACUCGUGGCGAAGGCGGGUUCCUGGACAUUAACUGACGCUGAGGCACGAAGGCCAGGGGAGCGAAAGGGAUCAGAUACCCUUGUAGUC
rnacentral:rRNA from 1 species